rnacentral:misc_RNA from 2 species
AACGCAUCUUGCGCUCCUUGGUAUUCCGAGGAGCAUGCCUGUUUGAGUGUCGUGAAUACUCUCAACUUCAACCCUUUUUUCGGAAAGGGAGGAAGGUUGGACUUGGGUGUUUGUCGAAGUGCGAGCUUCGACUCAUCCUAAAUGCAUUAGCGAUCUGCCUCGAUCACACACAAUGUGAUAAUUAAAACUAAAGCAUUGUUUAAUGAUCAAGUCGAGACUGCUUCUAACCGUCACAAGACAACAAUGUGCAUACAUUUGUGCAUGUCAUUUGACCUCAAAUCAGGUAGGACUACCCGCUGAACUUAA